AAAGAUUUAAAGGUGUCACUAAUCAGGCUCAGUGGAAACGGGACCCUUAAACAAGGAGACUCGUUAAAUCUGAUGUGUGAUGUGAACUGCACACACAAUUCCUCACAGUUCGUGUGGUUUAAAAACAAUGAGCUCUUACCUGAAUCAGGACCCGUUCUUCACUUUCCUGCUCUAACUGUGAGGGAUUCUGGGAAUUACACCUGCACUUGGAAAACCAACGUGACAUCAGGAUCUGAAACGAUCAGCCUUCACGUCGAGGGCGAAAAUCAGUGGAAAAUCUGGAUCAUUGUUUUGGUGAUAGUGGGAGUGAUUUUGAUCGGUUUAGCCAUUGGAGCUGUGAUUUACAAGAGGCGGUUUGUCAGCACUGAGCAGCAGAAGGAGGAUGAUUGUGCUAUCUACGCUAACAUACAGCAACAGAAUAAUUCUCCAGUCUAUGCUAAUGUACAGCUAUAGCUCUCUAUGCAAUAACAAUGAGCUGAUCAGAGUUUCACACCUCGUUCACUUCAUUCAUGUCUUCUGUUUGUGAAUUUCCCCUUUGAACUGAAAAAGACAAACAUGAUACAGCCUUC